rnacentral:rRNA from 1 species
CAGGGGGAUAACACUGAGAAAUCGGUACUAAUACCGCAUAACACUAUGAGAGGCAUCUCUUGUGGUUGAAAGUUUCGGCGGUUACAGAUGGGCAUGCGUUGUAUUAGCUGGUUGGUAAGGUAACGGCUUACCAAGGCGACGAUACAUAGGGGGACUGAGAGGUUAACCCCCCACAUUGGUACUGAGACACGGACCAAACUCCUACGGGAGGCAGCAGUGAGGAAUAUUGGUCAAUGGACGGAAGUCUGAACCAGCCAUGCCGCGUGCAGGAAGACGGCUCUAUGAGUUGUAAACUGCUUUUGUACAAGGGUAAACCUGAAUACGUGUAUUCAGCUGAAAGUAUUGUACGAAUAAGGAUCGGCUAACUCCGUGCCAGCAGCCGCGGUAAUACGGAGGAUCCAAGCGUUAUCCGGAUUUAUUGGGUUUAAAGGGUGCGUAGGCGGAUUGAUAAGUUAGAGGUGAAACGUCCGAGCUCAACUCGGGAACUGCCUCUAAUACUGUUGAUCUAGAGAGUAGAUGCGGUAGGCGGAAUGUAUGGUGUAGCGGUGAAAUGCUUAGAGAUCAUACAGAACACCGAUUGCGAAGGCAGCUUACCAAUCUAUAUCUGACGUUGAGGCACGAAAGCGUGGGGAGCAAACAGGAUUAGAUACCCUGGUAGUCCACGCAGUAAACGAUGAUAGCUCGUUGUCGGCGAUACACAGUCGGGACUAAG